GUUGCCGACCACAAUCUCGCUAUCUCCACCGUGAAUUCCAUCUUCUGCCAAAAUCUCUCCAUCUCCACCGCGAAUUCCAUCGCCAGCCACAAUCUCUACGGUUUCCUUCUGAACUUGGUGUCGUUCGACGUUGGUCUCAUUCCGACCUCUAGCUCACCAAACCCUAACUCAUCUUGUUCCACCACAGAGAAGAGAGAGAGAGAGAUUGCUUAAGAGAUGUUGUCGGACUUCAAAUCAGUUUAGAUCCGAAGCCAUCUAAAAGAUGAAGCUUUUAACUUUAUCCGUUUUUUAUUGAAGAUUUUUAGAGAGAUUGAAGUCGAAAAAGUCUUGAGUUUUCAAUUUUGGUUUCGGUUUUUGGUAUAAGUUUUCAGUUUUGGUUUACAAUCAUGCUCUCUUCUCUUCUUUGCAUCAUAUAGGUUCUUCAAAUUUUAGAUCUCCUUCGUCUUUAGAAUAAAAGAAAGUUAACUUGGUGUUGCUCUUACCUCCUAUCUUGUCGAUUCAAAUUAGAGGCUUUUUGAAUCUGUAAUUUGGGUCAACGCAGAAAAAGAAGAGAUUUUUAAUCAUGUUUAUUGCUAAAUUGGUUAAUUUUGCAGCUCCGUCAGUGAAGGGUACAUGUGAGUUUGAAAGAGUUUAUGUGGCUGGGCCUCUUGAUGCUUGUCAGAAUCUUUUGAAUACACCAGAAGAACAUAGCUCAAAUGAAACUUCCCCUUUUGUGUUGAUUGUAAGAUGAGGCUGUAGUUUUGAGGAAAAAGUGAGAAAAGCACAGAGAGCUGGUUUCAAAACUGCCAUAUCUAUAACAAUGAAGAUUGUGGAACCUUGAUAGCAACUAUGAACCAUUCUUCUCAGUUUAUUUGAGUUUGGAGCUUUAGUUCUUUAGAGAAUUAUUCUUUUGAGGAAGACUUUGAAACUUUGUACAUUGCUUUUAGGUGUGGAUAACAACUCUUGAACUUGUGUGAAGUUUUGAGCUUUAGGUUCUUUAGCGGUGGAUUUGCCACGGCGGUGACGUUUGUGACUGGAAACGCCAAGAAGCUUGAAGAAUCAAAGUUAUGCACGACAUUUCUAUUCCUUCCAAGUCUCUUAAACUUGACCUUGCCUCAGCUUCAUGGUGACCCCAGUUUUGGGUUGGGUCAGUGAGAUGUGGUUUGAUGAUCCAAGAAAAUUGGGUGACAAAGUUUCAGAGAUUGUAAAGAGGCAAGCGGUUGGUCAAUAGACGUAGUGAAGUUGUUCACAAGUCCAGUGGAGUUCAGAUUAUGCACGAGAAUGGUAACGGGAAGGCGAAAGACAUAGAGAAGAUGAGAUUGAAGUUUGUCUUCGUAAUGUUAGCUUUAUUUUUGCUUAAAACUUGUAUGAUAUUGUUAUGUAAAAAUG